GCCCAGUUAGUUUAGUGAGCAAAACACCACGCUGUGGCCGUGGCGACGCUGGUGCAAUUCCGGCACAGGGCA
rnacentral:tRNA from 1 species